CUAGAGAGUGGCAGUUGGAGCAAAAAUCCCUGGCUUCAAGUAUUAUUUAAUAUUUUUUCAGAAGGCAUGAGAGGGUUUCAAAAGAGUGAAGUGCGGUUUAGUCUGUAAGGAAGCAUUUGAAGGUGACAGUGAAUUUCAUAAAGGACAUGCAACAGCCGGCUCCAAGUGAGGACCUAAAUCAUCACACUGCUCUCCUGUAUGGAGGAAGGCGAGGCCAUCUCCCCACAUGGAAUUAUUUUGUCACUGAGAAAAACAAAUAUGCUACCAAAAGAAUGAAGGAUGCUGGGUAAGGAGAAACAACAUUCGAAUAGCACAAUCUGAUUGU